rnacentral:rRNA from 1 species
UUUAUGGAGAGUUUGAUCCUGGCUCAGGAUGAACGCUGGCGGCGUGCCUAAUACAUGCAAGUCGAGCGAACAGAUAAGGAGCUUGCUCCUUUGACGUUAGCGGCGGACGGGUGAGUAACACGUGGGUAACCUACCUAUAAGACUGGAAUAACUCCGGGAAACCGGGGCUAAUGCCGGAUAACAUGUUGAACCGCAUGGUUCUACAGUGAAAGACGGUCUUGCUGUCACUU